rnacentral:lncRNA from 1 species
GACUUUUUAUAAUUGUUUAACUCUAGGAUAUCCCCAGAGUUGAAGAGAAACAACGAAACUUUGGAGACAAAGACCAAAGAUGGAAAGGAAAACUAUGGCUUCAGUUAUGAUGAAACUGGCAUGGCGGAGAUUUCUUCUCACCCUUUAAAGCCAGAUGAAUCCAGGGUUUCAGAAGAACGCAACAGCCAGCAACCCCAGGGACCUGAAGAGCCUCAGUUGUUAGAGAUUCAUCAUGUUUCUUUGGAUAUGCCUAGCCCUGAGAAGAUUAGUAAUGCACCAACGGUAUAAUAAAAACUUUUCUUGAGCUCCAAUUUGCACGUGGCUGGCGGUUGACAACACAGUGAUGUCAUUUCUUCUCCAUCCCAGCUUGGCUCCAGUUUUGCCAGGAUUAUCUGGAAGAGUUGAUAUCAGAAUCAUCUGAACUGAUAUUUUAUAUGAGAGGAGGAAUUGCUUUUCUAGCUUCCCACGUAGAAUUUGACUUUAAAAUAUUUCAUGAUUUGAGUGAAUUUCUUAAAUUACAAAGUCAAAGAUGAAAAAGCAUCAUAAUGUUCCCCAUCACUCAACACUCCCGCUUGCUAACCCAGCAAAUGACAGACAAGCCUAUCUUUGACCGUGAUUGUGAUGGUUAGGCUAAUGUGUCAGCUUUGACAGGUAAUGAGACCCAGUUGUUUGUUCAAGCAAGCACUGGACUAAUUGUAAUACAAGAGCACCUCAUGGACUGUAAUCAACGGACUUUAAUCAACCGAGGAGCUUGCUGUCCAUGAUGAGUGACGCCUCAUCCAAUCAGUUGAAGGCCUUAAAAGGAGCAGUGAUUUCAGCAUUCAGGGAGAGAAUCCCCAUCCCCUGGGAAACUCAGACCUCCAUCGGAAUCCCUGGCUUGCCGCCCGCCCUGUGGAAUUUGGACUCGUGCAUGCCCAUGGUUGCAUGAGACAAUUUUUUAAAAUCUCAUACUAUUUAUAGAUAUCUCCUGUUGGUUCUGUUUCCCUAGAGAACCCUGAUUAAUACAAUGAUUCUAAUAACUUAUUUAGUACCUUAAAUUAUAUUACUUGUUAUUUAUAUAUGCUUAAUAUGUGGGGCAUUGGUGUGUGUUAGUGACAUAAGAGGAUAAAAAGUAGGAGUCAGUCAGAAAUAUAAAAUUGACAAGUCAGAACUCCAAUUUCAUGAGCUCAAGAUAAGAUGAAAUUCUAAAGCUGGUGCACAUGUUCCUAAUGAUAAAUUAAUGAAACAAUGAACAAAUUCAUUAUUGGCUAUUUACAGGAAGCCAUUUCUUUUAAUCUGCUGCCUUGUCCUAUGUCCUCUAAGUAGUGAGGUAUAGAUUGUACUUUGCAGGGGAUUUAUCUUACGUGCAACAAAUGCCAUGAAAGAAACUGGAAAUGGACAAUGUGCUCCUUAAUAAAUAAAAAAAAAACACCAAAAAUGAGUAUUGUAUUUUCCUUUUUAAUUCUUUAAUAUUUGGGAGGUCAUUUAAAGAAUCACAGAGUUUAAGCAAUUUAAGGAUUCAAAUAUUUUCCAGUAAGGAAACCAGGAAACUUCUCUAAAAAUCUGUUCCAUCUUUGUGUUUGUCUAUCUUUGGCUCCUGUACAUUUGCCCCAA